rnacentral:lncRNA from 1 species
UCGGUUUAUCUUAAAAUAGUUGAUUUAUUUUAAUAGCAUAGAGUGAAAGUCGAAACAAAAAAAAUAUUCGUUGGUAUGAAAGAUGAAGAUAGAAGUGUUUUGAAAUGUUGUCUCUCUCGAUAAAAAUCGGUAACAAAUUUAAUCCCCUUCAAUUAGAAAUAUAGGUUUGUUGUCUACAAUAAGAUGUACAUGCACAUUUUACUUUGGUAGCGUGGAGUCUAAUUCAAAACCACAUCGGGUUGAAAAUAUACAUAUUUUCAAUAAUCUUUUAUUUGAGCAAGUAUGCACGAUAAGAAUUAGACCCUUCUAUAUUAAAAAAAAGGUACAUAUCCUUUGCCUAAUAUUUGCCUGACAAAAUGUCCAUCAGAUGAAUCAAUCAAAUAGGAGGAACUGGGGAGUAUUUCAAACCGAAACAAAGAAUUGAUCCUAACUACGUGAAGUGCAUUAGCUUUAAAGCCUCUGAAUUAUUUUGUUGCUACUCCACCAGGAAAGUGCAGGCCUUCAAGAAUCAAAAGACACCACUUGAGCUCUCUUCGGUCUCAUAAGCCCUGUUGUUUAUAUCCUUAACCCCAAAAGGUUGCCUCUUAGCAUCUCUGUUGUUUUCUUGAUCCUUAUUAGGUGUCAGAAUAUCCUGAAGAAAAUCCAGUUGAUAUCAUAUUAUCAUUAAAUAAAUCCAUAGUUAACAUGUGGAUCGUGGGGAAUGGUGAGAUGCCAUAUUGGGGUUUGCAACACGAAUAAAAGACCACUAAUUUAUAGAAGGAGAAAAAAAAUGCCUGAACACCCUUAAGAUAGGCCAUGACGACGCACUAAAUAUUUCAAAACGAGAAGUUAUUUUGUCAUCAAAAGAAAAAAAGAUAAAGCACAAACCUUUUUCAAAUAUGUUCAGCUCGGCCCUCAAGAACAGCUGCAACAACUGCACAAGCACCAGUCCCAAUAGCAACAGUUGCUCCUACAGUCCAGAUCAUACAGUUUAUUUUGUAUAUCCACUAUAUGAAAGAAAUGCCUGGAGAUAAAAGGAUAUCUCACUGAAAAUCAUCAUACAUCAGAGUUAUUUACAUUAUGGGUUAAUAAUGUUAUCGAGGAC